GGUUUGUCGUGGAGCAGCUCAUUUUGGAAGGGCAAAACAAAUCUCUGUCAGGCACAAGUCUUUUUUCAGUGGUUCAAAGGUUUCCUUCAGCAACUGGCUGCACUUCAUGUACAGGUUUUCUCAGGGUUUACGAUUACGUCAGAUUGACAUGAUGGAAGACAGCAUUGCUGCCAGUUCAGCAACUCUGACUAAAAUGACCAAAAAAAUCAGGAAGGUCUGUGUCACAGCACUUAAAAGGAUGAGAAGGCGUACAGGCCAACGCAUUGGUGGAACAAGGGAGUUUGUUGUGAUAGAUGAGAGCCAUUUCAGACAUAAAAGAAAGUAUGGCAGAGGAAGAAUGGCUGGUGGAUGGAAGAGAAAGAAGUGGGUCUUUGGGAUGUUAGGUGUGAGCCGUCAUCAUGGUGAAACAUCAAUAAGGCCUAUUCUACGUCUUGUAGAAAAAAGAUCUCGAAGAGAUCUCGUCCCCUUGAUUUCCUAUCAUGUGAGGAGAGGAUCAUCAAUCAUCAGCGAUGAGUGGCGUGCAUAUCACAUUCUUCCUGCACUUGGGUACGACCAUCACACUGUCAACCACAGCAGGUGGUAUGUUGACCCCCGGACUGGUGCCCACACCCAACACAUUGAGAGGGCUUGGAGAUCCUACAAAGCGCAUAUCUGUAGACUAAGGGGAAAUCGUACCGAACGUUUGCUUUCUGACCACCUAAUGCUGAUUGAGUGGAAUGAAUGGCUUGCAAAGAAACACCAUGAUGGUGCAUUUGGUAGACUCAUUCAUGACAUAUCAAGAAAGUACAAUUAGGAUUGUAUUUAUUAUACAUCCAUAGUAACCAGUGUCAGUGU